AAGUGGCCUGUGGGCAGCGCCCAUACAGAUUAUGGAUGUGGUAGGAGGCCUGAGCCUGGACACCUGCAUCACUUCUUUGGUUGCCAGCUCUACCCUUCUUGGUCCUCCCAGGCCCUGAGCACGCACUCUGGCUUCAGACAAAAGUCAGGAGAUGCUUUUCCCUCCUCACCCUGUAGGCCCUGCUUCAGCCUCCUCCGAGUACAUGCAGUUUGGGUUAAUGAACCUGCCGGUCUUGAAAGGGUAAUGCUCCUCAUGUGUGUGAGGGUUGGGCUUUCUGUGGGUGGGAGAUAGGAUGGGUGUGGAGGCCAGUACCUGGAGCAUAGGAGAUUGAAUGAGUGUGAAUGGAUGUGUGGGGGAGGAUCAGUGAAACACAAGCGGAUGUGUCAGUUCAAGGGAGGCUGAGCUCAGUGGGUGGAUCUGAGCUUGGGGAGCUGCUGAGGCUGUGGGUCCAACUCUGUUGUGGAGAGUGCUGGGUUGGGCUGGUCCCUGCUGAGCAGUGGGAGGACAGCUUGCAGCACAGGCUCCUCUGCUUGACUGUCCUGGGCUGAGCUGGGCCUGUUUGUGUGCAUGUGCAUGUCAAGAUCUCUGCAAGGUAGUGGCAGGACCUAGGUCAGUCUGGCUCUCCAUUGAUCCUUUGCACAUCUGGUUCUGUGAGGCAGAUACGUGCAACAAACAUCCUAAAAAUGUGUAUUGUAGCAGUACAAAAAUUGUAACAAUUUUGAUUCAAUUUCAGACUUGAAAAGUUGCAAGAAUAUAUAGCACAAAGAACUUUAAAAUACUUACCCGACCUCAGCUCACAUUUUGCCGCAAUUGCUUUAAUUGUCUCUAUACACACUUUUUUUCUGAUCCAUUAGGAUCAAGUUAGAGAUGGGCCCUUUUGUUCCAAAUAUUUUAUUGUCAGUUUGCUAAGAACAAGCAUAACUGCAGAUCAAUGAUGAUAAUCGGGAAGUCUAACAUUGAUAUCAUACUGUUACCUAAUCCAUAGUCCACUGUAAAAUCUUGCCAAUUUUCCCAAUAAUAUUUUCCAUAGUUUUCUUUCCUGGUUCAGAAUCCAACCCAGAAUUACUACAUCUAGUUCUCAUGUCCUUCAGCCUUCUUUCCAUGUCUGUCUUGGAAAAGUAUUGGCUGAUUUUGUAGAAUGUCCUUCAAUUUGGGUUUGAUGUCGGCUCACAAUUAGAUUUAAUUGAGCUUUUUUGUGUAGGAAUACAGAUGGUCCCUGACUUAAAAUGGUUCGAUUUAAGAUUUUUUGACUUUAGGAUGGUGUGAAAGUGAUAUUAUUCAGUAGAAACUACUUCAAAUACGGAAUUUUGAUCUUUUCCCAGGCUAGUGAUACGUGGUAGAGCUCAUGAUUCUGGGCGGUGGCAGUGAGCCACAGACCCUAGUCAGCUAUGUGAUCUCAAAGGUAAACCCAACAAUACACAACUCUUUUUUUGUACCCAUAAAAACAUUGUUUCACUUUCAGUACAGCAUUCAAUACGUGAGAUACCCAAUACUUUAUUAUAAAAUGGGCUUUGUGUUAGAUGAUUUUGCCUAACUGUAGGCUAAUGUGUUAGGACAUUAGAAGUAGCCUCAGCUAAGCUAUGAUGAUCAGUAGGUUGUGUAUUAAAUGUAUUUGUGACUUAGGGUAUUUUCAAUCUACGAUGGGUUUAUUGCAACAUAACCCCAUCAUAAGUCAAGGAAGAUGUGUACCACAGAAGAGAGAUUGUGUACUUGAUGCAUCAUAUUGGGAGGCACAGAAUACUUGGUGAGUUUUAGUGAUGUUUACUUUGAGCACUUGGAUUAAGGGGCAUCUGUCAAGUUUCUCCACUGUAAGUUAUAAGGAGGUAUUUCGAGGCUAAAUAUCCUGUUCUUCAACUUUUCACUCACUAGUUAAUAGCAUCUAUUAAUAUUUUAACUCCAUUAUUACCUUUAUAUUUAUUAGUAUUGUACAGUAAGGAAGAGCUUUCUCUUAAAACUUUUUCUUUCCAUUUUUUGAUGUGGAGUCGGGCAUUCUCAGCAAAUACUCUUGCCUUCUAAAUACAGCUCCGUAUAAAGAAGCCUUUCCUCUUGGUUUUUGGUGUCAAUGAUGAGGAAAGGGGUGGGCUUUCUGUAUGGGGGGAGAAAUUAGAGCUGGGUUAAAAUUACCAAUGGGUAAGAAAAUUAACAAAAUGCCAAACCAGCAACAAGGCCGUUUGCUGUGAUGUUUGCCACACUCGCCUACUAGGAGGCAGUGUCAUUGCUAUUCCACAUCUGCCUGGCUCCUCUACCUCUAGGCUCUGUGCUCUAGAUAACUUAAGAUGAGGGAUGGGAAGGGUUGGGGGAGGAGGAGGGAGCCGACUUGGGCUGCACGAAGAAGCUGUUUAUCUUCCAUCAGUGUUGAGGAGCUUCUCUAGGCCUUAGUUCUUUCAUCUGUAAAAUAAGACCUGUGCUCAUUAGAACUUCCUGUGGAGCUUGUUAAAAGCAGGUGGCCAGGCCCUGCCCCUGAUUUGGGCUGUGAUUUGUGUGUUCAGGAGGUGGGUGGGGCCUGCGUGGGUGUUUCCACAGGUACUUGCUGGCAGUUCCAAUCCCAGUUGGGUUUGGAAACUGCCAGCCUAGCAACUAGCACUGGCUGGCCCACGGUGCAGUCUCCCAUGUUUGGGGUCAGAUAAUGCUCUUCGCAUAAAAUAGACAAGAGAGUCUUCUGCCUUCUGUGUCACAGAUUCUGCUUCUUCAAGAUUUGAAAGGCCCCAGGAAAGUUUUGGAGAUACUGGAAAAAAACAUGGAUUCAAUUGUGAGGAAUGUGAGGAAAGCUCAUUUUCUUUUUCAACUGCAGGGGUCAGCAAACUAUGCGCAGCUGCCUGUUUAUGGGUAAGCCAUGAACUAAGAAUGGUUUUUCACAUUUCUAAAUGCUUUAAAACAAUAGCAACAACAAGAGGAGAAUACUGUGGCCUGUGGAAACUAUACGAAAUUCAAAUCAGUGUCUACAUACAGAGUUUCAUUGGGGUGCAGCCACAUUCAUUUGUUUACAAAUUGUAGAUGGCUGUUUUCCUGAUGCACUGGCUGAAUUAAAUAGUUGCCACAGAGACAGUACGCAGCAGUGUUAUCACUUUGCAGUACAGACUGCAGUUAUACAUUUAUAACUCAGUAGUGUUAUGAGGGCCAUACCUAUCACCAUAUCGUGACAUUUAAUUUUUUAAAAAUUAUUAGUGCAUACUUAACGUUAAAGAAAAAAGAGCCCCCCCCCCCGCCCCGUCUAAGAACGUGCAGGGCGACGGCGGCCGGGGUGGGGGUGCGCAUGUGCCCUGGGCCCGGGCCCCCCGGGAGCCAUAAUCCUGGAGGGACCCGCUCCCAGGAGUCAUGUCCCUGCGCCCCGGCCCCCGGGAGACAUAAUCCAUGCUCCCCGGCCGGGCCCCUAGGAACCGUGUCUACAAGUCCCGGGGGCCAGCGUGGCAGGGGCCGGGCUCACUCCGGGAGGCGGCAGGCGCUGUGAGCCCCUUCCCGCAGGGGCGCCUGUGCCGCGGACCGGCGGCUGGGGAUCGCGGGGAUCGCGGGGGACAGGAGCGCAGCGGACAGAGAGGCCUGGGCGCCGCCGGUUCAUGUUGCUGUUUACGCUGCGGGCGCGCAGUGCCCCCUGCCCGCCCGCCAGCCCGCUGCUCCCCCGCCCGCUCCAACAUGCCCUCAGUGCGCCUGCCGCUGCGCCCCUAGGCGCUAGACCGCGCGGCCGCCAUGGGGAAUGGGAUGAACAAGAUCCUGUCUGGCCUGUAUAUCGGCAACUUCAAAGAUGCCAGAGAAGAACAAGAUGACACACAUUCUGUCUCUGCACUACAGCGCCAGGCCAACAUUGGAGGGGGUUAAAUACCUGUGCAUACCAGCAGCGGAUUCACCAUCUCAAAACCUGACAAGACAUUUCGAAGAAAGUAUUAAAUUCAUCCACUAGUGCCGCCUGCGAGGUGAGGGCUGCCUUGUUCACUGCCUGGCCGGCGUCUCCAGGAGUGUGAGUCUGGUGGUUGCAUACAUCAUGACGGUCACCGACUUCGGCUGGGAAGAUGCCCUGUGCACUGUGCAUGCAGGGAGGUCCUGUGCAAACCCCAACCUGGGCUUCCAGAGGCAGCUCCAGGAGUUUGAGGAGCACCAGGUCCAUCACUUCCGCCAGUGGCUGAAGGAGGAGUACGGAGAGAGCCCUUUGCGGGAUGCGGAAGAAACCAGAGGCAUUCUGGCCACCCCAGGAAUUCUGAAGUACUGGGCCUCUCUCAGAAGACUGUAAUGUACCUGAAAUAUUGCAAAGCCAGAGUUUAGGUGCUGCCCAGAAGAAAAGCAGACAGAGUUUAGGUGCUGCCCAGAAGA